GUCAGCAGAUGUCUUUCAGAUUGUGCCUCUUGCCGUGACGUAUAAUCUAGUGGACGGGAAAGGACACUUCAAUAACAACACGGUUACUGAUUCAACUUUCUCGCUAGCCAACACAAAACGUAAUAUUGAAGCUUAUUUUGCCAUUGUUUGUAUAUAUUCAUCUCCGUGUUUUAAACACAAUUCUGUUUGAGUAUCUACUGGUUAAAUGAACAUAAUUUACUUGUUACAUUUGCAAAUAAGGUUCAGGUUAUUUCUGAGCCAAGCACUAGGCUAGUCGCUAGCUGACAUGCCCUGACCAGGAGCUCACUUAGCUACUCCACCCCUGCUAAAGAAGAAGAGGUCUGUUGCGCGGAGAAAGAAUCUCUGGGGCUGAACUUGGUCGUGAAAGAAGAACAUGAGGAUAUUGCAAUGAAAGGAGAUGAAGACGUGUUUAGAUUUAAGCAGGAGGAGGAGAAUGCUAUAACAUUUAAAAAAGAGAAAGAACCUUGUGGAAUGAAACGGGAAGAGGAGGUUCUCACAUUGAUAGAGGAGGAGGUUACAGUUAAAGAAGAGAAAGACACUUUAGGAGAGGAAGAGGGGAUACAGGCUGUCACAGUGGAAGAGGAAGAGUGGAUACAGGCUGUUACAGUGGAAGAGGAAGAGGGGAUACAGGCUGUCACAGUGGAAGAGGAAGAGGGGAUACAGGCUGUCACAGUGGAAGAGGAAGAGGGGAUACAGACUGUCACAGUGGAAGAGGAAGAGGGGAUACAGGCUGUCACAGUGGAAGAGGAAGAGGGGAUACAGGCUGUCACAGUGGAAGAGGAAGAGGGGAUACAG
ensembl:lncRNA